GACGGAGGGUGCAAGCGUUGUUCGGAAUUACUGGGCGUAAAGCGCGUGUAGGCGGCCUGUCAAGUCAGAUGUGAAAGCCCUGGGCUUAACUCAGGAAGUGCGUCUGAAACUGGCGGGCUUGAGUACGGGAGAGGAGAGCGGAAUUCCUAGUGUAGAGGUGAAAUUCGUAGAUAUUAGGAAGAACACCGGUGGCGAAGGCGGCUCUCUGGACCGAUACUGACGCUGAGACGCAAAAGCGUGGGGAG
rnacentral:rRNA from 1 species